CCCGGUAUUCCACGCCCUAAACGAUGACUGCUAGCUUUUGGAAGAUAUCAAUCUCUUUCAGAGGCAAUAGCUAACGCGUUAUAGCACUCCGCCUGUUAGAGUACGAGCGCAAGCUUAAAACAUAAAGGAAUUGACGGGAACCCGCACAAGCGCUGGAUCUAUGUGGCUUAUAUUCGUAUAGUGGGCGAGGAUACCUCACCUAGGCUUGACUAUACAGCUGCACGUCCUAUGAAAGUAGGAUUUCUUCGAGAGUGCUGUACAGACGUAUGCACGGUCGUCGUCAGCUCGUGUCGUGAGUAUGUUCGGUUAAGUCCGGUUACGAGCGCAACCCCUUAUCCUUAGUUUAUUUAUAUGUCUAAGGAUACUGCCCAAGUUUCCCUGGGAGCAAGGAGGGGAUGACGUCAGAUCAGCGUGUCUCUUACGUUUAGGGCGGCACACAUGAUACAAUGGGUAGAGUACAAUAGGACGGCAAUAGGGCAACAUUGAGCAGAUCCUAUCAAUACUUCCCUCAGUUCGGAUCGAAGUCUGCAACUCGACUUCGUGAAGCUGGAAUCGCUAGUAAUCACCACUCAGCCCCGCCGCGGUGAUACGUUCUCGGGUUUGUACACACUGCCCGUUAC
rnacentral:rRNA from 1 species